rnacentral:ncRNA from 1 species
GGAGUAGGGGAGUGGACUUCUGAGUAAACCAUGGGGUGUUCUGGGGUCCAGGGAGUGUGGGCCGCAGUAGUCAGGAGAGGAGCCCCCAUCCUGGCUUGAUUUCUGCCCAGUGCUCUGAAAGUCAAAGUAAAGAAAUUCAAUGAAGUGCAGGUAAAUGGCGGGAGUAACUAUGACUCUCUUAAGGUAGCCAAAUGCCUCGUCAUCUAAUUAGUGACGCGCAUGAAUGGAUGAACAAGAUUCCC